UAUAGACUUACAUGCUUUUAUUCUUAUAGGUGUACGCCAUACUAACCCAUGGAAUUUUUUCCGGACCGGCGAUUUCACGGAUUAAUAAUGCUUGCUUCGAAGCUGUAGUGGUUACAAAUACUAUACCGCAAGAUGGACAUAUGAGAGAUUGUCCUAAAAUUCAGUGCAUUGAUGUAUCAAUGAUGUUUGCUGAAGCUGUAAGGAGAACACACAAUGGCGAAAGUGUUUCUUAUCUUUUUUCAAAUGUUCCAUAUUAAAUUAUAUUUACACUCAAAUCGUAAACCGCGAUUUAGAUAUGAUGUAACUUGUUUAUUAAUUUGCAUAAUUUUUUGUUACUGCAUAUUUUUAAAAAGAAAGAUAUUGCAAUUAUAAAAGCAACUUUCAUCCACCACUACCGUUUUGAAAAGCAAAGAAAAUAUAAAUAUACUAGAAAUUUACCUCAAGCCAUAAAAUA